CAUGUAACCAUCCUAUAUGCCGUGCAGUAAUAUUUUGAGAGCUGACGAUCUAGACUUUGUUUCCUUCUUAAGUCGAACAAGGCUAUAGCACCCUUGUCGAAGGGCCCAUCUUGCGCCAACAGCAGCACUCACAUCAUAAUAACAACAAGAGGCACAUGGCUGAAAGCAACAACUGCCUGCCGUUGCGGCAUCCAGAGCACAUGGUCAAGCGAGCCCUGGGUAGAAAAUAGGUCACUGGGAAGCACCCUCCUGUGCUCAGCCAAUCUCUUUUAGGGCAUGAAUGUUGCAAAGGAGCUUCGCAUGUUUGACAUCAUGAGGGUGUCUACCCUGACGAAAUCACAGUAUAUAACGGCACUGUCAUGUUGUCAGCCCCGACGAACAGCAACUACGACGAGGCAGUGGCAUCGACUAUGACUCGUGGCGAGGUGGCGAGGAAGAGGACGGAAGAACAGACUGGCAGUUCGUGCAUGGACUUGGAACGGGGAGAAUAAACCCUGGACACUCUGACGUUGUUGUCUGGUUGUAGGUCCGGGAGAGGUUUAACUGGCGCGGUCGACGUUAUCACCCAACCUCACGCUCCUAACAGGACAGGUUGACGGAGUUUCUCGGCACAACCUACGUCACGACUCUGAUCACUCCGAAGCAAGGGCAGCUCGGCGGACCGGACUUCUGGCCUGCCGAUCUCAGGGAACGGCAAUCACCUUGGGCUGUGUGGUAUCGGCGGCAGCACCAGAAUUCUAGCAGUGGCGGACAGGCGGCGAGUUCAGGGACGGCACACCUGAAGAACAGUUCUCAUCUUCAUCAAGAUGACAGGUCAUUGUUGGGUCUGCAUUAUUAUUGCUCCUGUAAUUCUUUCACCAACAGAGAAUACAAAAGUACACAAAUGGUUUUACAACGCUAUCAAGUACGUCAAAACAUCAAAGGGCAGGGAGCCCUACUCUAUUUCCUAAAUCC